CCUACGGGGCGCAGCAGGCGCGAAAACUUUGCAAUGCGGGAAACCGUGACAAGGGAACUCUGAGUGCCCGUAAAAUCGGGCUGUCCACCGGUGUAAAUAACCGGUGAAGAAAGGGCCGGGCAAGACCGGUGCCAGCCGCCGCGGUAAUACCGGCGGCUCGAGUGGUGGCCACUAUUACUGGGCUUAAAGCGUUCGUAGCUGGUUUGUUAAGUCUCUGGGGAAAUCUUCCGGCUUAACCGGAAGGCGUCUCAGGGAUACUGGCAGACUAGGGACCGGGAGAGGUGAGAGGUACUCCAGGGGUAGGAGUGAAAUCCUGUAAUCCUUGGGGGACCACCUGUGGCGAAGGCGUCUCACCAGAACGGCUCCGACAGUGAGGGACGAAAGCUGGGGGAGCAAACCGGAUUAGAUACCCGGGUAGUCCCAGCCGUAAACGAUGUGCGUUAGGUGUAUCGGUGACCACGAGUCACCGAGGUGCCGAAGAGAAAUCGUGAAACGUACCGCCUGGGAAGUACGGUCGCAAGGCUGAAACU
rnacentral:rRNA from 1 species